rnacentral:rRNA from 1 species
UACGUAGGUGGCAAGCGUUGUCCGGAAUUAUUGGGCGUAAAGCGCGCGCAGGCGGUUUCUUAAGUCUGAUGUGAAAGCCCACGGCUCAACCGUGGAGGGUCAUUGGAAACUGGGAAACUUGAGUGCAGAAGAGGAAAGUGGAAUUCCACGUGUAGCGGUGAAAUGCGUAGAGAUGUGGAGGAACACCAGUGGCGAAGGCGACUUUCUGGUCUGUAACUGACGCUGAGGCGCGAAAGCAUGGGGAGCGAACAGG